AACGAACGUUAGCGGCGCGCUUAACACAUGCAAGUCGAACGAGAAAGGGCUUCGGCCCCGGUACAGUGGCGCACGGGUGAGUAACACGUAGGUAACCUGCCCUUGAGUGGUGGAUAACAUUCCGAAAGGAGUGCUAAUACAGCAUAAGACCACGGUUCCAUCAAGGAACAGGGGUCAAAGCGGGCCUCUUCAUGAAAGCUCGCGCUUGGGGAUGGGCCUGCGGCGCAUCAGCUAGUUGGUGAGGUAAUGGCUCACCAAGGCUAAGACGCGUAGCUGGUCUGAGAGGAUGAUCAGCUACACUGGAACUGAGACACGGUCCAGACUCCUACGGGAGGCAGCAGUGGGGAAUUUUGCGCAAUGGGCGAAAGCCUGACGCAGCGACGCCGCGUGGGUGAUGAAGGCCCUCGGGUUGUAAAGCCCUGUGGGAGGGAUGAAUAAGGUAUGGCUAAUACCUAUACUGAUGACAGUACCUCCUUAGCAAGCACGGCUAA
rnacentral:rRNA from 1 species